rnacentral:rRNA from 1 species
UAGGGAAUCUUAGGCAAUGGGGGGAACCCUGACCGAGCAACGCCGCGUGAGUGAAGAAGGUUUUCGGAUCGUAAAGCUCUGUUGUUAAGGAAGAACGAGUGUGAGAAUGGAAAGUUCAUACUGUGACGGUACUUAACCAGAAAGGGACGGCUAACUACGUGCCAGCAGCCGCGGUAAUACGUAGGUCCCGAGCGUUGUCCGGAUUUAUUGGGCGUAAAGCGAGCGCAGGCGGUUAGAUAAGUCUGAAGUUAAAGGCAGUGGCUCAACCAUUGUAGGCUUUGGAAACUGUUUAACUUGAGUGCAGAAGGGGAGAGUGGAAUUCCAUGUGUAGCGGUGAAAUGCGUAGAUAUAUGGAGGAACACCGGUGGCGAAAGCGGCUCUCUGGUCUGUAACUGACGCUGAGGCUCGAAAGCGUGGGGAGCGAACAGG